GAUCUCGUAGCUCAGUAGGUUAGAGCACUACACUCAUAAUGUAGGUUAAUGGGUUUUUAACCCUCCCCCACCA
rnacentral:tRNA from 1 species